rnacentral:rRNA from 1 species
UACGUAGGUGGCAAGCGUUAUCCGGAUUUACUGGGUGUAAAGGGCGUGUAGGCGGGAAAGCAAGUCAGAUGUGAAAACCAUGGGCUCAACCCAUGGCCUGCAUUUGAAACUGUUUUUCUUGAGUACUGGAGAGGCAGACGGAAUUCCUAGUGUAGCGGUGAAAUGCGUAGAUAUUAGGAGGAACACCAGUGGCGAAGGCGGUCUGCUGGACAGCAACUGACGCUGAGGCGCGAAAGCGUG